rnacentral:rRNA from 1 species
UACGUAGGGGGCGAGCGUUGUCCGAAUUUACUGGGCGUAAAGAGCGCGUAGGCGGAUCUUUAAGUGAGUGGUGAAAGCUCGGGGCUCAACCCCGAUAGUGCCGUUCAUACUGGAGAUCUUGAGUGUGGGAGAGGCGAGUGGAAUUUCUGGUGUAGCGGUGAAAUGCGUAGAUAUCAGAAGGAACACCCAUGGCGAAGGCAGCUCGCUGGCCUACAACUGACGCUGAGGCGCGAAAGCGUGGGGAGCAAACAGG